UACGGAGGGCGCAAGCGUUAUCCGGAAUCACUGGGUUUAAAGGGUGCGUAGGCGGCUUGAUAAGUCAGGGGUGAAAGCCCGCAGGUUAACUGCGGAACUGCCUUUGAUACUGUCGAGCUUGAAAGAGGUUGAGGGCAGCGGAACGUGACAUGUAGCGGUGAGAUGCAUAGGUAUGUCACAGAACACGGAUUGCGAAGGCAGCUGGCUGGACCUACUUUGACGCUGAGGCACGAAAGCGUGGGGAGCGAUCAGG
rnacentral:rRNA from 1 species